CCUACGGGUGGCAGCAGUCGAGAAUCAUUCACAAUGGGGGAAACCCUGAUGGUGCGACGCCGCGUGGGGGAAUGAAGGUCUUCGGAUUGUAAACCCCUGUCAUGUGGGAGCAAAUUAAAAAGAUAGUACCACAAGAGGAAGAGACGGCUAACUCUGUGCCAGCAGCCGCGGUAAUACAGAGGUCUCAAGCGUUGUUCGGAAUCACUGGGCGUAAAGCGUGCGUAGGCUGUUUCGUAAGUCGUGUGUGAAAGGCGCGGGCUCAACCCGCGGACGGCACAUGUUACUGCGAGACUGGAGUGAUGGAGGGGGAACCGGAAUUCUCGGUGUAGCAGUGAAAUGCGUAGAUAUCGAGAGGAACACUCGUGGCGAAGGCGGGUUCCUGGACAUUAACUGACGCUGAGGCACGAAGGCCAGGGGAGCGAAAGGGAUUAGAUACCCUAGUAGUC
rnacentral:rRNA from 1 species